rnacentral:rRNA from 1 species
UACGUAGGGUGCGAGCGUUAAUCGGAAUUACUGGGCGUAAAGCGUGCGCAGGCGGUUAUUCAAGACAGAUGUGAAAUCCCCGGGCUCAACCUGGGAACUGCAUUUGUGACUGGAUGACUAGAGUACGGCAGAGGGGGAUGGAAUUCCGCGUGUAGCAGUGAAAUGCGUAGAUAUGCGGAGGAACACCGAGUGGCGAAGGCAAUCCCCUGGGCCUGUACUGACGCUCAUGCACGAAAGCGUGGGGAGCAAACAGG